rnacentral:tRNA from 1 species
GGAAUAUAGCUCAGUUGGUAAGAGUGCUUGCCUCGCACGCACAAGGCUUCUGGGUUCAAUCCCCAGCACCA